UACGUAGGGUGCAAGCGUUGUCCGGAAUUAUUGGGCGUAAAGAGCUCGUAGGCGGUUUGUUGCGUCGGCUGUGAAAUCCCGAGCUCAACCUCGGGUCUGCAGUCGAUACGAGCAAACUAGAGUGUUGCAGGGGAGACUGGAAUUCUCGGUGUAGCGGUGAAAUGCGUAGAUAUCGAGAGGAACACCUGCGGCGAAGGCGGGUUGCUGGGCUGACACUGACUGGAGAAGCGAAAGCAUGGGGAGCGAACAGG
rnacentral:rRNA from 1 species